rnacentral:misc_RNA from 1 species
UGUGGGAGCGAGCCUGCUCGCGAUGGCGUCGGGUCAGUCUGCAUCAAUGUCGGAUGCACCACCGCUAUCGCGAGCAGGCUCGCUCCCACA